GAUGAAGAACGUAGCGAAAUGCGAUAAGUAAUGUGAAUUGCAGAAUUCAGUGAAUCAUCGAAUCUUUGAACGCACAUUUCGCCCCCUGGUAUUCCGGGGGGCAUGCCUGUUCGAGCGUCAUUUCACCACUCAAGCCUCGCUUGGUAUUGGGCAACGCGGUCCGCCGCGUGCCUCAAAUCGACCGGCUGGGUCUUCUGUCCCCUAAGCGUUGUGGAAACUAUUCGCUAAAGGGUGUUCGGGAGGCUACGCCGUAAAACAACCCCAUUUCUAAGGUUGACCUCGGAUCAGGUAGGGAUACCCGCUGAACUUAAGCAUAUCAAUAAGCGGAGGA
rnacentral:misc_RNA from 1 species